UAAAAAUAGACAGUCUGUGUUUGUGUCCUGCUGUCGGUGAGGAGGGUUUAAUGAAGCGAGGUCAGUUACAGGAACCUGCCGACGGACAAAAAGGUUCAAGGGAACAAAAAGCAUCCGAGACAUUCCCAUAAACCAGAGACGGGCCAGACACUGCCUGGCUCAUUUCCUUUCAGAGUAACACUGGCCUUAAGGGUCACGGAGUGAACUGAAAAACUAAUGAUGAACUGAUGGGAAGGAAAUAAAAAGGUAAAAAAGUAACAGGUAAAGUAUAUAAUUAAUAAUAAUAAAAGGUUAAUAUUAAUUAAAGGUGCUGAGGGAUGUGGAAGGUAAAAAUACAAAAACUAAAAAUGAGGACGGUGAUGCAAAACACCAAGGAAAGGGACAAUAAGUCACAGGUGAACCAGGAUCUAACAACACAGACAACUACACAAGGGGAUACCUUUCAAAAUAAAACAGGAAGAAACAGAGAGGCAUAACAAAAAAGGAACAAAAAAACAAAACAAUAAAAACGCCAAAAAAAGACAGCAGAAACAAGAACAGAAAGUGGUUCACAACAUGGUCACUCAUGUCAUCUAACAGUGGCUAACAGCAGCUAACAACUACAAAAACAGCAGUGCUUACUGAGAGAAAGGUUCAGGAUGCCCUCAACAACCCACCUCAGUAUUGCUGUCAUUAGACAACAGUCACUGAGUCACGGACUCAUGGACAGUAAGUAAAGGUACUCACUACAGAUUUUAAGGUGACUCUGGUAAAAGCAUAAAAUACUGUAAAGUAUUUAAUUAACCAUAUGUGCUUUUUUUCUUGAUUUAUUGCUAAGUGUUGAUGUUAUUAAAAUAUCUUAAAAUUCAGUGAGUACAGUCUAAAUGUUUCUGACCUAUUGGCUGACUAAAACAUGUUUGUCCUACAGCACUCGCCGUAGCAUCACACAGGCGGGAGAACACGGUGCAACUUUUCCACAAUGGAACAGCAGUGUACUUGAUGACAUGAUGACAUCACAGCUCAGCUCCACAUGUUUUUACUGCCCUG
ensembl:lncRNA